GAUCCGGAUUGGCCGGAGCCGGCGCCCUUCGGGGGCGUCUGCCCGGGCUCGGUGUCGGACCGGAUGUC
rnacentral:tRNA from 1 species